GCUGAACAAGCCAGAACCUGUUCCCUUCCUGAAGCUUUCCAUCUCCGUGGGUCCCACCCUGUCUCCUGGCCAAGCAGACUCAAGAAAUCCUGGCAGAGAAUGAUAUUCCCUGCUGCUCUGCGGAGAUGACCACUUCGUGGAGAGCAGAGAGAGGAAGGAGGAGAAAAACGAAAAGAAA
rnacentral:lncRNA from 1 species